GGAGGAAGUGGUUCUGAGUUGGUCCAUGGGUGAGUGUGGAAAAAGUGCCAACUGACUGGCUGAAAGGCAUCAAGGAAGUUCCCACUCUGGGUUGCAGACCCUACCUGGAACUGGAAGCCCAGCCCCCAGGCUUUAGGUUAUCCUUGACUUGAUGGUUGGGCCCCACCAGGGACCUGCCCUGCCUAGGAACCUGUCUGCCUCCCGCCACCACCGAUAGCAUCUUUUAUUAAUAGCAACUCCGCAGGACUCAAAUACAUUCCUGGGUUACCAACAAAGACAUCACAACCACCCUGACUACAUCUUUGGCAGACCACAAGAGGGCACCAAACUUCAUCUUUCCGGCUGAGAAAACAGCAUCUGGGCAUUGCAAAGUACAAAAUGAAGAGGUGGCCAAAGGAACAAGUUGUUAUUGUUUGUCUUUGUUCCCUAAUAAAAUUAGAAACAUAUCUUUAUAUUACUUUGCAUGAAUGUGAGUAUUGAUUUAUUCUUCAAACUCCAAAUCUGGGUUUAAAAACAACAAAACAAAAUGAUACAGUAUUUUCUUUGCAAUUGGAUUCCCACCCAAUAUUCAAGGACUG
rnacentral:lncRNA from 10 species